GGGGAUUUGGCUCAGUGGUAGAGCGCUUGCCUAGCAAGUACAAGGCCCUGGGUUCGGUCCCCAGCUCCG
rfam:Rattus norvegicus chromosome 9, whole genome shotgun sequence.